UUGACACAAUGAUGACUGCAUAGUUCAGCAGACAACCCGUGAAGAAUAAAAUCAUUGUCUUUCACCCCUAGCUGAUGUGUCAA